UGUGGCCUGAUUUUUAUUUGUUUGUUUGUUUGUGCCUAUGUAUGUAUGUAUGUAUGUAUAAGAAAGAAAGAAAGAAAGAAAGAAAGUGAACAUACAAGGAAAGUGUCUAUUAUUUAAAAUGUUAUUAAAGUUAUUAAAAGACUCAAAUAUUACCUACAGUUGAGUGCAAAUAUUUGCACACUCUUACGUCAUUUCGUUUGAAUUUUAUUAACGUCUCUUUAUCACAAGUAACAAAAAACAGUCAAAUGGCAUACAUUAAGAUAUUAAUAGUCAAACAAUCAAAAUUCAUGUCAUAUAAAUGUGGAUUUUUUUUGUUUCCCCACUUACCCCUAAGUGCUUGUUCAGGAUUUUAGACUUUUUCAGUUAUAUUUCCACUCAGAAUGCUGUUCUGUAAACAUCUGGAUCUCUUUUACCCUUCUCCACAUCUGUAAAAGAAACCAAUAAGGAUGCAAACUUUCAACUUUUUCUGACAGCUCAGUCUCAUGGAGGUGAAGGAAUCCUGAAAACUUUUAAGGGUCAUUUGACUAAUGUGUAACCAAGCCAUAUCUGUACUUUUUAACAUAACAAUAAAAGUCAUAUAAGAAUA